rnacentral:rRNA from 1 species
GACGAACGCUGGCGGCGUGCUUAACACAUGCAAGUCGAACGGAAAGGCCCUGCUUUUGUGGGGUGCUCGAGUGGCGAACGGGUGAGUAACACGUGAGUAACCUGCCCUUGACUUUGGGAUAACUUCAGGAAACUGGGGCUAAUACCGGAUAGGAGCUCCUGCUGCAUGGUGGGGGUUGGAAAGUUUCGGUGGUUGGGGAUGGACUCGCGGCUUAUCAGCUUGUUGGUGGGGUAGUGGCUUACCAAGGCUUUGACGGGUAGCCGGCCUGAGAGGGUGACCGGCCACAUUGGGACUGAGAUACGGCCCAGACUCCUACGGGAGGCAGCAGUGGGGAAUAUUGCACAAUGGGCGGAAGCCUGAUGCAGCAACGCCGCGUGCGGGAUGACGGCCUGCGGGUUGUAAACCGCUUUCGCCUGUGACGAAGCGUGAGUGACGGUAAUGGGUAAAGAAGCACCGGCUAACUACGUG